GAUGAACGCUGGCGGCGUGCUUAAUACAUGCAAGUCGAACGGAAAGGCGAUGCUUUUGUGCCGUGCUCGUGUGGCGAACGGGUGAGUAACACGCGAGUAACCCCCCCUUAACUUUCUGAUAACUUCAGGGAACUGCGGCUAUUACCGGAUAGGAGCUCCUGCUGCAUGUUGGGGAUUGGAAAGUUUCGGCGGUUGGGGAUGGACUCGCGGCUUAUCAGCUUGUUGGUGGGGUAGUGGCUUACCAAGGCUUUGACGGGUAGCCGGCAUGAGAGGGUGACCGGCCACAUGGGGACUGAGAUACGGACCAGACUGCUACGGGAGGCAGCAGUGGGGAAUAUUACACAGUGGGCGGGAGCCUGAUGCAGCAGCGCUGCGUGCGGGAUGACCGGCUUCGGGGUGUAAACCGCUUUCGAAUGUGACGAAGCGUGAGUGACGGUAACUGGUAAGGAAGCACCGGCUAACUACGUG
rnacentral:rRNA from 1 species